CUCAAGGGCUCAAACACAAACCCACUCCACCUAUACAAACGUGCACAAACACCUUCACUCAGAUCCCCACUACAAACAAUAAACUAUGUCUCUCCCUUGUGUGGUCUCUUUAAUACACUAUGUAAGUGAACAGCAAAUUAACUGCUGUUGGUGUGAAAAUACACCAGGUGUCAUGGUGGGCAGAGGUCAGAGGCCUAAUAGCCCAAAGUAAGCAAGG